CUAAGGUAGCAUAAUCAUUUGUCACUUAAUUGGUAACUGGAAUGAAAGGUUAAACUAAUCUAUUAAGUUUGUUAGGCUGAGCAUAAAUUUAAAGUUAAGGUAAGAAUUCUUUAAUAUUCUAGGGGACGAUAAGACCCUAGAAGCUUAACGAGCAGGUUGUUUUGUGUUAUAAAUUUGUUUGUUUUACUGGGGCGGUAAAAAUAAUUAAGCUAUUUAUUGUUUAAUAGAUCCUUAAAAUAAAGAAAAAAUGGAGAAGUUACUCUAGGGAUAA
rnacentral:rRNA from 1 species